GAUGAACGCUGGCGGCGUGCCUAAUACAUGCAAGUCGAGCGAACAGACGAGGAGCUUGCUCCUCUGACGUUAGCGGCGGACGGGUGAGUAACACGUGGAUAACCUACCUAUAAGACUGGGAUAACUUCGGGAAACCGGAGCUAAUACCGUAUAACAUGUUGAACCGCAUGGUUCAACAGUGAAAGACGGUUUUGCUGUCACUUAUAGAUGGAUCCGCGCCGCAUUAGCUAGUUGGUAAGGUAACGGCUUACCAAGGCAACGAUGCGUAGCCGACCUGAGAGGGUGAUCGGCCACACUGGAACUGAGACACGGUCCAGACUCCUACGGGAGGCAGCAGUAGGGAAUCUUCCGCAAUGGGCGAAAGCCUGACGGAGCAAAGCCGCGUGAGUGAAGAAGGUCUUCGGAUCGUAAAACUCUGUUAUUAGGGAAGAACAAAUGUGUAAGUAACUAUGCACGUCUUGACGGUACCUAAUCAGAAAGCCACGGCUAACUACGUG
rnacentral:rRNA from 1 species